rnacentral:rRNA from 1 species
GGGUUGUGAGGUUAAGCGACUAAGCGUACACGGUGGAUGCCCUGGCAGUCAGAGGCGAUGAAGGACGUGCUAAUCUGCGAAAAGCGUCGGUAAGGUGAUAUGAACCGUUAUAACCGGCGAUGUCCGAAUGGGGAAACCCAGUGCAAUUCGUUGCACUAUCGUUAACUGAAUACAUAGGUUAACGAGGCGAACCGGGGGAACUGAAACAUCUAAGUACCCCGAGGAAAAGAAAUCAACCGAGAUUCCCCCAGUAGCGGCGAGCGAACGGGGAGCAGCCCAGAGUCUGAAUCAGCUUGUGUGUUAGUGGAACGGUCUGGAAAGUCCGACGGUACAGGGUGAUAGUCCCGUACACCAAAAUGCACAGGUUGUGAACUCGAAGAGUAGGGCGGGACACGUGGUAUCCUGUCUGAAUAUGGGGGGACCAUCCUCCAAGGCUAAAUACUCCUGACUGACCGAUAGUGAACCAGUACCGUGAGGGAAAGGCGAAAAGAACCCCGGCGAGGGGAGUGAAAAAGAACCUGAAACCGUGUACGUACAAGCAGUGGGAGCACCUUCGGGUGUGACUGCGUACCUUUUGUAUAAUGGGUCAGCGACUUAUAUUCUGUAGCAAGGUUAACCGUAUAGGGGAGCCGCAGGGAAACCGAGUCUUAACUGGGCGUUAAGUUGCAGGGUAUAGACCCGAAACCCGGUGAUCUAGCCAUGGGCAGGUUGAAGGUUGGGUAACACUAACUGGAGGACCGAACCGACUAAUGUUGAAAAAUUAGCGGAUGACUUGUGGCUGGGGGUGAAAGGCCAAUCAAACCGGGAGAUAGCUGGUUCUCCCCGAAAGCUAUUUAGGUAGCGCCUCGUGAACUCAUCUUCGGGGGUAGAGCACUGUUUCGGCUAGGGGGUCAUCCCGACUUACCAACCCGAUGCAAACUACGAAUACCGAAGAAUGUUAUCACGGGAGACACACGGCGGGUGCUAACGUCCGUCGUGAAGAGGGAAACAACCCAGACCGCCAGCUAAGGUCCCAAAGUCAUGGUUAAGUGGGAAACGAUGUGGGAAGGCACAGACAGCCAGGAUGUUGGCUUAGAAGCAGCCAUCAUUUAAAGAAAGCGUAAUAGCUCACUGGUCGAGUCGGCCUGCGCGGAAGAUGUAACGGGGCUAAACCAUGCACCGAAGCUGCGGCAGCGACACUAUGUGUUGUUGGGUAGGGGAGCGUUCUGUAAGCCUGCGAAGGUGACCUGUGAGGGUUGCUGGAGGUAUCAGAAGUGCGAAUGCUGACAUAAGUAACGAUAAAGCGGGUGAAAAGCCCGCUCGCCGGAAGACCAAGGGUUCCUGUCCAACGUUAAUCGGGGCAGGGUGAGUCGACCCCUAAGGCGAGGCCGAAAGGCGUAGUCGAUGGGAAACAGGUUAAUAUUCCUGUACUUGGUGUUACUGCGAAGGGGGGACGGAGAAGGCUAUGUUAGCCGGGCGACGGUUGUCCCGGUUUAAGCAUGUAGGCUGGUUGUCCAGGCAAAUCCGGAUAAUCAAGGCUGAGGUGUGAUGACGAGGCACUACGGUGCUGAAGUAACAAAUGCCCUGCUUCCAGGAAAAGCCUCUAAGCAUCAGGUAACAUCAAAUCGUACCCCAAACCGACACAGGUGGUCAGGUAGAGAAUACCAAGGCGCUUGAGAGAACUCGGGUGAAGGAACUAGGCAAAAUGGUGCCGUAACUUCGGGAGAAGGCACGCUGGUGUGUAGGUGAAGUCCCUGCGGAUGGAGCUGAGACCAGUCGAAGAUACCAGCUGGCUGCAACUGUUUAUUAAAAACACAGCACUGUGCAAACACGAAAGUGGACGUAUACGGUGUGACGCCUGCCCGGUGCCGGAAGGUUAAUUGAUGGGGUUAUCCGUAAGGAGAAGCUCUUGAUCGAAGCCCCGGUAAACGGCGGCCGUAACUAUAACGGUCCUAAGGUAGCGAAAUUCCUUGUCGGGUAAGUUCCGACCUGCACGAAUGGCGUAAUGAUGGCCAGGCUGUCUCCACCCGAGACUCAGUGAAAUUGAACUCGCUGUGAAGAUGCAGUGUACCCGCGGCAAGACGGAAAGACCCCGUGAACCUUUACUAUAGCUUGACACUGAACAUUGAGCCUUGAUGUGUAGGAUAGGUGGGAGGCUUUGAAGCGUGGACGCCAGUCUGCGUGGAGCCAACCUUGAAAUACCACCCUUUAAUGUUUGAUGUUCUAACGUUGGCCCCUGACCGGGGUUGCGGACAGUGUCUGGUGGGUAGUUUGACUGGGGCGGUCUCCUCCAAAAGCGUAACGGAGGAGCACGAAGGUUAGCUAAUCCUGGUCGGACAUCAGGAGGUUAGUGCAAUGGCAUAAGCUAGCUUGACUGCGAGCGUGACGGCGCGAGCAGGUGCGAAAGCAGGUCAUAGUGAUCCGGUGGUUCUGAAUGGAAGGGCCAUCGCUCAACGGAUAAAAGGUACUCCGGGGAUAACAGGCUGAUACCGCCCAAGAGUUCAUAUCGACGGCGGUGUUUGGCACCUCGAUGUCGGCUCAUCACAUCCUGGGGCUGAAGUAGGUCCCAAGGGUAUGGCUGUUCGCCAUUUAAAGUGGUACGCGAGCUGGGUUUAGAACGUCGUGAGACAGUUCGGUCCCUAUCUGCCGUGGGCGCUGGAGAAUUGAGGGGGGCUGCUCCUAGUACGAGAGGACCGGAGUGGACGCAUCACUGGUGUUCGGGUUGUCAUGCCAAUGGCACUGCCCGGUAGCUAAAUGCGGAAGAGAUAAGUGCUGAAAGCAUCUAAGCACGAAACUUGCCCCGAGAUGAGUUCUCCCUGAGACUUUAAGUCUCCUGAAGGAACGUUAAAGACGAUGACGUUGAUAGGCCGGGUGUGUAAGCGCAGCGAUGCGUUGAGCUAACCGGUACUAAUGAACCGUGAGGCUUAACCUUACAACGCCGAAG